rnacentral:rRNA from 1 species
AGAACGAACGCUGGCGGCAUGCCUAAUACAUGCAAGUCGAACGAACUCUUCGGAGUUAGUGGCGCACGGGUGCGUAACGCGUGGGAAUCUGCCCCUUGGUUCGGAAUAACAGUUGGAAACGACUGCUAAUACCGGAUGAUGACGAAAGUCCAAAGAUUUAUCGCCCAGGGAUGAGCCCGCGUAGGAUUAGCUAGUUGGUGAGGUAAAGGCUCACCAAGGCGACGAUCCGUAGCUGGUCUGAGAGGAUGAUCAGCCACACUGGAACUGAGACACGGUCCAGACUCCUACGGGAGGCCAGUCCAGUGGGGAAUAGUUGGACAACGUGGGCGCAAGCCUGAUCCUAGCCAUACCG